rnacentral:rRNA from 1 species
GCCUACGGGGCGCAGCAGUGGGGAAUAUUGCACAAUGGGGGAAACCCUGAUGCAGCAACGCCGCGUGAGUGAAGAAGUAUUUCGGUAUGUAAAGCUCUAUCAGCAGGGAAGAAAAAUGACGGUACCUGAGUAAGAAGCACCGGCUAAAUACGUGCCAGCAGCCGCGGUAAUACGUAUGGUGCAAGCGUUAUCCGGAUUUACUGGGUGUAAAGGGAGCGUAGGCGGCCAUGCAAGUCAGAAGUGAAAACCCGGGGCUCAACCC